UAUGAUGUAUUCUAAACGCUGCGUUUUUAAUUAUGCCUUCUAUCGCUCUCCUUCUCCGCCGUAGGUGCAUUUAGGGUUUCCAUGGAAACUGAUUCUUCUUCCUCAGGAUCCAGCAAUCAAUCGGCGCCGUAGUGAAUCUAGAUUUUCCAACGAGCUAUUCAUCUUCUUCCUACUGAUCAAGUAAUCAGUCGAUUACGGAAUCGUUGCUAUUAAAUUCUCUCUUUAAAUCAAUCUACACGAUAUCUCUUCAAAAGCGGUGGUGGUUCGACUAUAAUAAGAUGUUCUUCCACAGUGGAGGUUAGGUUAUUGCCUUUCUGAGAGGCAAGGAACAUCAGGCGAGGUGAUGAACUGAUGUCCGUAGAUACGCUCCUGCUUCCGUUUUAGAAUUCCGAUUGUAUGUAUAUAAGUUGAUUUUCCCCAAAUUAUAAGAAUUUUCACUGAGCGUUUAUUAGUUGUGACUUUCUACGAUUUACUUUCAAGCAAAUCUUAUGCCAGCCACCAUUGGUCCCUAUCUCACGGUGGGGUCGAUGUAUUCCAUAACCGGUUUCGAUGUGGCUCGGUGUAACCCAAACUUCAGGCUGUCGGACUCCUCUUCAUUUGAUUCAUUGGCAAACUCCUCUCUCCUUCUUACUGACUUCAAAGCCGGUCGAUGUAGCACAACCGUCGAAGUGCGGCGACCUCAUCAGUCUCCGCUUGCUUUCUCCAUCGACUUUAACCUAACGUUCUUGCUAAUACUGCUCACCUAAUCAUCAGCAGACGCGUCCGGGGAUGGGUCCACCAAUCGUUGUCUCACUGAUAUCGGCUUUGGUCCUCUCAGAUAUUUUUUACAAAUUUUCUAAAGCUUUAGAGAGAUCUCAAAACGUCGACAGCCAUGGCGACCACCAAAGUCCAGAGGAUUAUGACCCAGCCAAUCCUACGUAACUGAGUUUUAGGGGUUUCAAAGUAAAGUUCGAGUCCAUAUUUGGCUCUUUUGAGCGGAAAGAUCUGAAGACUUAAGAAAUAAUUAAUUGUUCAGGAAUUCAUGGUGUUCUCUUUGUGCUACUGAAUUCAUGGAGUACAAACACUACUGAGGGCUAUGUCUUGAUGCAUGCAUAAGCUACAUAGAUGGUGCUUAUGAUCUUUUCCAACUUGCCACGCUAAGCUAUAUGUUAAUUUAGCGCAGACAUAUUAAUCUUUAUGUUUUUCAUUUUCCUCUGCUGUUUGUCGACAGAAUUUGAGAGCUAAUAUGUAUUUGACUACAUAGAGCUUCAAGCUAUAUUUUCGAAAAAAGGUAGCAAGAUGGAACAAGGUGACCGAGAAGUAUAAAAAAGUUGCUUUCGUCCUGGACCUGGAUGAUAGAUUUGGAUAUGUAUCUAUGCCCAGCUUAGGCCACAAAAACUUCUCACAGGCCGUAAACA